AGUGAACGCUGGCGGCAGGCCUAACACAUGCAAGUCGAGCGGCAGCGCGGGGGCAACCCUGGCGGCGAGCGGCGGACGGGUGAGGAAUUCGUCGGAAUCUGCCUUUUUGUGGGGGAUAACGUAGGGAAACUUACGCUAAUACCGCAUACGUCCUACGGGAGAAAGUGGGGGACCGCAAGGCCUCACGCAGAAAGAUGAGCCGACGACCGAUUAGCUAGUUGGUGGGGUAAAGGCCCACCAAGGCGACGAUCGGUAGCUGGUCUGAGAGGAUGAUCAGCCACACUGGGACUGAGACACGGCCCAGACUCCUAAGGGAGGCAGCAGUGGGGAAUAUUCGACAAUGGGCGGAAGCCUGAUCCAGCCAUGCCGCGUGUGUGAAGAAGGCCUUCGGGUUGUAAAGCACUUUUGUCCGGAAAGAAAUCCCUGGAGCUAAUACCUUCGGGGGAUGACGGUACCGGAAGAAUAAGCACCGGCUAACUUCGUG
rnacentral:rRNA from 1 species